UUACUCACGGAGCUGAAGUCAGUCGAAGAUACCAGCUGGCUGCAACUGUUUAUUAAAAACACAGCACUGUGCAAACACGAAAGUGGACGUAUACGGUGUGACGCCUGCCCGGUGCCGGAAGGUUAAUUGAUGGGGUCAGCGCAAGCGAAGCUCCUGAUCGAAGCCCCGGUAAACGGCGGCCGUAACUAUAACGGUCCUAAGGUAGCGAAAUUCCUUGUCGGGUAAGUUCCGACCUGCACGAAUGGCGUAAUGAUGGCCAGGCUGUCUCCACCCGAGACUCAGUGAAAUUGAACUCGCUGUGAAGAUGCAGUGUACCCGCGGCAAGACGGAAAGACCCCGUGAACCUUUACUAUAGCUUGACACUGAACAUUGAGCCUUGAUGUGUAGGAUAGGUGGGAGGCUUUGAAGCGUGGACGCCAGUCUGCGUGGAGCCGACCUUGAAAUACCACCCUUUAAUGUUUGAUGUUCUAACGUGGACCCGUGAUCCGGGUUGCGGACAGUGUCUGGUGGGUAGUUUGACUGGGGCGGUCUCCUCCUAAAGAGUAACGGAGGAGCACGAAGGUUGGCUAAUCCUGGUCGGACAUCAGGAGGUUAGUGCAAUGGCAUAAGCCAGCUUGACUGCGAGCGUGACGGCGCGAGCAGGUGCGAAAGCAGGUCAUAGUGAUCCGGUGGUUCUGAAUGGAAGGGCCAUCGCUCAACGGAUAAAAGGUACUCCGGGGAUAACAGGCUGAUACCGCCCAAGAGUUCAUAUCGACGGCGGUGUUUGGCACCUCGAUGUCGGCUCAUCACAUCCUGGGGCUGAAGUAGGUCCCAAGGGUAUGGCUGUUCGCCAUUUAAAGUGGUACGCGAGCUGGGUUUAGAACGUCGUGAGACAGUUCGGUCCCUAUCUGCCGUGGGCGCUGGAGAACUGAGGGGGGCUGCUCCUAGUACGAGAGGACCGGAGUGGACGCAUCACUGGUGUUCGGGUUGUCAUGCCAAUGGCACUGCCCGGUAGCUAAAUGCGGAAGAGAUAAGUGCUGAAAGCAUCUAAGCACGAAACUUGCCCCGAGAUGAGUUCUCCCUGAGACUUUAGGUCUCCUGAAGGAACGUUGAAGACGACGACGUUGAUAGGCCGGGUGUGUAAGCGCAGCGAUGCGUUGAGCUAACCGGUACUAAUGAACCGUGAGGCUUAACCUUACA
rnacentral:rRNA from 1 species